rnacentral:rRNA from 1 species
UACGUAGGGUGCAAGCGUUAAUCGGAAUUACUGGGCGUAAAGCGUGCGCAGGCGGUUGUGCAAGACCGAUGUGAAAAUCCCCGGGCUUAACCUGGGAAUGGCAUUGGUGACUGCACGGCUAGAGUGUGUCAGAGGGGGGUAGAAUUCCACGUGUAGCAGUGAAAUGCGUAGAGAUGUGGAGGAAUACCGAUGGCGAAGGCAGCCCCCUGGGAUAACACUGACGCUCAUGCACGAAAGCGUGGGGAGCAAACAGG